rnacentral:tRNA from 1 species
GCCCCAAUAGUCUAAUCUGGAUAGGACGCAACCCUGCGGAGGUUGAAUUCGGCGUUCAAAUCGCCGUUGGGGCGCCA